GGGUGGCUCCGAAAGCCAGAGGACUUCGAGGCUGUCAGCUCCCCAGAUCUGUCGAAAGGCAGUGAGGUGUACACAUGUCCCUGCUGAGGGACAGCUGGGGUGGUGACCUCUGAGGGCUUUCCUGAGCAAAUCUCUGCCUCCUUCUCUGAGAGGGAUCUGGGGCAAUCAACAAAAGAUAGAUGAAGCAUUCUCAACCAGCAACAGAGCCUACCUUUGGUCUCCGUUGUGAGGAGUAAGUCUCUUAGGCAACGACACCAUCUCUCAGG